AUCAAAAUACGUUAUUUUGACAGAUCACCAUGGCAACGGAGUUACAAAGCUAAGAUGUUUUCUAUAUUCUUCGGACACCUCCUCUCUUCUUAAUGGCGAAAAUGCAGGACUUUGAAUGUUUUCAAUUAAGUUUCUAUGUCUAAUAAAAUAUAUAUAAUAUUUAGACACUAAUUUAUUUACCUUUUUCCCAUUCAGUACUUUCAAUUUUGCGUAGUUUAGUUUUAAAAACGCCAAAAAA
rnacentral:lncRNA from 1 species